UUUUGAGCCUUUAUGAUUUUAUAAGUACGUGAGCAUUUCGUCUCAAAAUUCGUACAGUACUAAUAAAAAAGACUUAAUGGAAUAUACAGUUAAUAGCGCCGUAUGAAUUUUGAGGUGAUCCGACGGCUAAAAAGUUACAAGCUCAAAUGUUCUUGUCCUUUUAAAAGCACAGAAACUCAACUCUCUCUCUCUCUAUAUAUAUAUAUAUGUUAAUAUUUAUUUUCUCUCUCUAUAUCUCUCUUAAUACCCAUAUCAU
rnacentral:lncRNA from 1 species